GAGUUUGAUCCUGGCUCAGGGUGAACGCUGGCGGCGCGCUUAAUGCAUGCAAGUCGAGCGAGCCUUGCGGGCUUCGGCCUGUAAGGAAAGCGGCAGACGGCUGAGUAACGCGUGAGUAACCUACCCUUUGGUGGGGUAAAACCACGAGAAAUUGUGGUUAAUCCCGCAUAAGAUCCCUGUACCUUGGUUCGGGGAUGAAAGCUUUCGAGCGCCAGAGGAGGGGCUCGCGUCCUAUCAGGUAGUUGGUGAGGUAACGGCCCACCAAGCCUAUGACGGGUAGCUGGUCUGAGAGGACGAUCAGCCACACUGGGACUGAGACACGGCCCAGACUCCUACGGGAGGCAGCAGUGGGGAAUAUUGCGCAAUGGGCGAAAGCCUGACGCAGCAACGCCGCGUGGGGGAUGACGGCCUUCGGGUUGUAAACCCCUUUCAGCAGGGACGAAAAUGACGGUACCUGCAGAAGAAGCCCCGGCCAACUACGUGCCAGCAGCCGCGGUAACACGUAGGGGGCAAGCGUUGUCCGGAUUUAUUGGGCGUAAAGUGCGCGUAGGCGGUUGGAUAAGUCUCUUGUGAAAGCUCCCGGCUCAACUGGGAGAGGUCAAGGGAUACUAUUCGACUUGAGGAUAGCAGAGGUAAGCAGAAUUCCCGGUGUAGCGGUGGAAUGCGUAGAUAUCGGGAGGAAUACCAGUGGCGAAAGCGGCUUACUGGGCUAUUUCUGACGCUGAGGCGCGAGAGCGUGGGGAGCAAACUGGAUUAGAUACCCUGGUAGUC
rnacentral:rRNA from 1 species